rnacentral:rRNA from 1 species
CGCUGGCGGCGUGCCUAAUACAUGCAAGUCGAACGAACGGAGGAAGAGCUUGCUCUUCCAAAGUUAGUGGCGGACGGGUGAGUAACACGUGGGCAACCUGCCUGUAAGUUGGGGAUAACUCCGGGAAACCGGGGCUAAUACCGAAUGAUARARUGUGGCGCAUGCCACGCUUUUGAAAGAUGGUUUCGGCUAUCGCUUACAGAUGGGCCCGCGGUGCAUUAGCUAGUUGGUAGGGUAAUGGCCUACCAAGGCAACGAUGCAUAGCCGACCUGAGAGGGUGAUCGGCCACACUGGGACUGAGACACGGCCCAGACUCCUACGGGAGGCAGCAGUAGGGAAUCUUCCGCAAUGGACGAAAGUCUGACGGAGCAACGCCGCGUGUAUGAAGAAGGUUUUCGGAUCGUAAAGUACUGUUGUUAGAGAAGAACAAGGAUAAGAGUAACUGCUUGUCCCUUGACGGUAUCUAACCAGAAAGCCACGGCU